rnacentral:rRNA from 1 species
CAUUAUUGAAAUAAACCUGAUGGGUUGUUGCUGGUUCUCUAGGGAGCAUGUGCACACCUUGUCAUCUUUAUAUCUCCACCUGUGCACUUUUUGUAGACCUUUCGGGUCUAUGUUGCUUCAUUUACCCCAAUGUAUGUUAAUAGAAUGUUGUGCCUAUAUAAUAUAUACAACUUUCAGCAACGGAUCUCUUGGCUCUCGCAUCGAUGAAGAACGCAGCGAAAUGCGAUAAGUAAUGUGAAUUGCAGAAUUCAGUGAAUCAUCGAAUCUUUGAACGCACCUUGCGCUCCUUGGUAUUCCGAGGAGCAUGCCUGUUUGAGUGUCAUUAAUAUAUCAACCUUCUCUUUUUUGAGUUGUUUGGAUGUGGGGGUUUGCUGGCCUCUUAAAUGAUUCAGCUCCCCUGAAAUGCAUUAGCAGAACAACCUGUUCAUUGGCGUGAUAAUUAUCUAUGCUAUUGAAUGUGAGGGGCAGUUCAGCUUUCUAACCGUCCUCGGACAAUUCAUCAUUAAUGUGACCUCAAAUCAGGUAGGACUACCCGCUGAACUU